AGACCAUCAAGCUUCAGAUGAUCAUGCAACAAAGGUUCCAGCUAGUUCCAAGUGAAAGCACCACCCCUGGCCUUCAAGAAGCUACCUUGCCUCCACUAAACAGAGCAGGUUUCAUCUCCGAUAUAGAAGAAUGGAAGUUGUAACUGAUGUCCUUUAAAAAAAGAAGAAAGAAGAAGGAAGAAGGAGGAAUGAGGAGGAGGAGGAGAAGAAAGAAGAAGAAGAAAGAAGAAAGAAGAAGAAGAAGAAGAAAGAAGAAAGCAGGAAGCCAGGGAAGCUGAAAAUCCAUUACUUGGAUAAAAUAGUAAGUUGAGGUUGCAGGGAAAACUUUCACACUAAAAUAUGGAAGGACAGGUAAAUCUAAAGAGACACAGACAAGAUCUAUGUACAUGGAACAGAAGCUGGGAUCAUACAUUGGUAAAAUACUUUCAUGGUAAUUUUUACAAAUUGCUAGACACUGAAUGUAGAGUGGAAAAACUUCUGGGAGCUACAGUCUUGGGAGACCUACAAACUUGAGUUUCUCACUGUGAAGAUCAAAAGAAGGUUUCUGAGCUGGUUCUGUUGGGUGGUGGAGGUGGGGAGGGAGAGGGGCAGGCAAUGGGGCGGAGGGGAAGAGAAACCACUGUGAAACAUGUCCAGAGCCUUCUCCAUAUCAAAGGCUUACUCUACAGGAAAAAGACUUGGCCAGAGCCUUACUGCAGAAGGCAGAAAAGCAUUCCUCUCACCACUCCUUCCUCUAGCCCUCCUAUUUCACCUAAGUUACAGGGAGGUUGGGGGUGGGGGUGUGGCGGGAUUAACAGGGGUCAGGGCUUGAAGGGUAUACAUUGAAAAUACUACACAUAGGGAAGCAAGUAGGAACAAGGGAAAAGAAAAUAGUACCAUUGGAAGAAUACUUAGAAGGUCACAGCCCAGAUACACAGACUCACUAAAACACAGAUAUAUAGCCUGAAGAUUAUAAAAUGCAAAGGGAAAAAAGAAUGAACAAAACAGAACAUACAAGAAAUGUGGGGUAGGACACAAUUGCUCAUGCCUGUAAUCCCAGCACUUUGAGAGGCUGAGAUAGGAGGAUCACUUGAGGCCAGGAGUUCAGUAAUAGCCUAGACAACAUAGCAAGACCACAUCUCUACAAAAAAUAUAAAUAAAUAAAAAAUAAAUUAGCUCAGCAUGGUGGUGCAUGCCUGUAGGCUUAGCUACUCUUGAGGCUGAGGAGGGAGGAUCUCUUGCGCUCAAGAGUUCAAGACUGCAGUAAGCUAUGAUUGUGCCACUGCACUCCAGCCUGGGUGACAGAGCAAGAUCCUGUCUCAAGAAAAACAAAACAAACAAAAAAACAAAACAAGGAAAGAAAUGUGGAACUAUAUAAAAAGUUAUAAAAUACAUCUAAUUUAAAUACCAGAGGAGAAGAGAAAAAGCCAAAGAAGCCUAGAAAAUACUUGAAUUCUUAUAGUAACAACGGUCAAAAAUUUUCAAAAAUUCAUGACAGACAUUAAACAUAAAUCCACAAAACUCAGAAAACACAAAACAGGAUAAAUACUGAACCUAGCCAUAUCAUAUUCAAAUUGUGUAAAACCAGAGAAAAGGAAAAAUCUUGACAGAAUCCAGUGUGCAGGGGGGAGAUGAGACAAGUUUCAGAUGAGAACUCUUCUGUAAUUGUUAUAGUUCCUAUAAAGGAACCUUAUAUUGUGCCUCUAUAGGCCUCUCAUCUGAAACCAGGCAAGUAAGAAGAUAAUAACAUGAAGUAUUUAAAAUAUUGAAAAAAAUCUAGAAUUCAAUAAGCAGUAAAAUUACCUUUUAAAAUGAAAGAAAAAAUAAAGAUUUUUUGAAAACAAAAUUUGAGGUAUUUAUCACAAGCAGAUGUGCCUUGCAAGAAAUGUUCAAAGAAGUUCCUGAGGGAGAAGAAAAUAAUAUAGGUCUGAAAUUUGGAUCCUCAUAAAGAAAGGAAGAGUGUUGGACAAGGAAUAAAUGAAGACAAUAUAAAACCUCUUAUUUUUCAUAUUCUUUAUUGACCUAAAAUAUAACCAUUUGCUUAAAUAGUGGUAAUGACAAAUUGUAUGAUUAUAGUCAAUAGAUAAGUGAAGUGCAUGAGAAAAAUAUCACAAAGAGUGGAAUGGUAGAAUUGGUAAUACUCUGGUAUAAGGUAGACACAUGAGGCAAUAUAGUGUUAUUUAAAGGUGGACUUAUGUUAAUUUGAAAAGUAUAUUGUAAACUUUAGGGGAACCAAGAAAAAAUCUUAAGUAUAAUUGAUAGAACUAAAAGGAGAAAUAGACAAAUUUAUUAUAGUUGGAGUCUUCAAAGUCCCUUUUGUCAGUAAUAAGCAGAUCAAACAGACAGAAUAUCAGUAGAUAGAUGGAGACAGAGAGAAGGGGGGAGAGAGACAGCAAUAAUAUGCUAUAGUGGCUGUACCACUUACUAGCUUUGCUGUAAUAGUUAUGUGAUUUUCUAUUGUCUAAAGUUCAGUCUUGCUUUCAUAAAAUAGGAAUCAUAGCAGUACCUAAUGAUGUGUAGGGUCAUUUGAGGGUUAAAUAAGAUAUUCCGGGUAAACUACUUACCAAAGUGCUUGAUACAUAGUAAAUUCUCAAUGAAAUAUAACAUCAGUAUUUAUAUAAAAGCAUUUUAUAAAUUUAAUCAUAAAAAUAAAUGUCAUUAAUAAUUGCUAACCUAAAAGCAAUUAUAACAUUUUUCUUCUCUCUUUUCAGCUUUAUGACAUUAAACUAUUGAAGUUGCUCUGCUAGGCCCUUUCCCAAGAUGAAUUAAAACACCUGAGAAGAAAAUAAACAAAUCAGACAAAAUAGAAAUAACUAAUACCUAAAAUAGCUAUUUGUCUUUAAGAACUUGAAAGAAAAAAUUAUUUUGAAAUAGAUUGUUUUGCUUUAGAGUAAUAAUAUUAGAAAAUUUCCAAACAUAACCUUAAAAUGUAUAUGAAUUGCAUCUUAUCAGGAUAGUAAAUAUUAUUUAGAAUUUAAGGGAAGUAUUUUUCACAAUAAUUUAAAGAGGAAUUUCUGUAGGAUUUAUUCCUUAAACCCAAAAUUUAACUGAAGUGUUUUUGAAAAAUUUCUUAACACCAUAAAUUUUAGCUUAAUUAAACCUCUCAAGGGGAGGUUUUUCCUCUCAAGGGGAAAUACAAAUAACACUUCAAGGAAAAUGGUAUCUCUUCUUAGCUUGGAUAGUUAUUUUCAGAAGUUUGCUUACAGUAUGAAAAGGUAAAACAAUGUUAUGUGUCAAGCAAGUGAACACAUUACUCACAGUUAAAACACAAUAUGUAUUAUUUAAGCAAUUGUAAACUUGUUUCUGUAAAAUUUAAUGAAGUUUUAUUUUAAGAUGCCAAAAAUAUUUAAACUGAAUGUUUUUUAAUUCUCUGCCUGAAAGUCAGACAUACAAUAGAAAUAAUGUAAUAAGAGGAAAUAAAUAUCACCCUUGAAUAUUCACUUUGGAUUAGUAUCUUUCAUAAAUCUAUUUUUAAACUCAUAAUUAAUGAAACUUUCAAAAUAAAUUUAUUCCUUAUUUUUGUACUAAGUUGAAUAAUGUACUCUCACAACAUAAUGUUAACAAAGUAAGUAUAUUUUGAUAAAGACUACAAUAAUCAAAAAAUAUAUUUUAGUAAUGCCUGCAGUGCCUAAAGGUGGUAUAAAAAACAUUUGUUAUUACUGCAUCAAUAUAAGAAUUGAUAAGUUAUAUCUAUGAUCCAGCUAUUAGAAAUAUAUUGAUUUAGGUCUUUUUCUCAUAAAUUCCUAGUAAACGUUCUUAAAAAUAGCAAAUUCCUUUUAGUCUCUCUAAAAUUUGACACUUCAAAUUAUACAUUUGCCUUUCAUUUGCUGGCAUCAUGGUGUAUAAUUUCUUUUCACUUUCAUUUAAAAUCCUGACAGCCUCACCAGGAUUCUUGCUCAAGAUCAGAAAUAAAAGGCUUAGAAAAUCAUUAUAUUGUCAGAGCCCACACAAGAGGUAAAAUGCAGUGAGCUUGCUGUGAAUGAUGGAAAUACCAGUGGGAUAUUUGUCUAUGAACCAGAAUUCUCAAAAUGUAUCAAAUAUGAUUUGUCCUUCGAAACCAUUUUCUCUUUUGAGAGAAAAACAAACCAAAUAAAGAGUUAGAUAAGUUUGAUCUUCACUAGUAAGUUAAAAGAAACGAUUUCUAUUAUCUUCUAUUUGAAGAACUAUAAUAAUACUAUUGAAUAGUUAUAUUUCUGAAUAGACCGAAGGCCAUGCUUGAAAUAUAUGUUUCUCUCCAAUGACCAAUGCUUUGUUUGCUGGGUGAAUGUCCUGAUACAAAGUCAAAAUAAAAUAGAACUUUUACAACAAAUAGAAUUUUUAAAGUUCUAUAUUGGACACACAAAACCAUACAUAUUAACAAGAACAUACAUACAUAUUAACAAGAACAUAACAAAAUAGAUAGUAAUUUUUUUAGCUUCAAGUGGAAUUUUUGAGUAAAAAAGUGCAUUUUUAAAAUUUACUAGAUAUUAUCAAAUUAUUUACCAAAUUGUACCAGUUAUACUCCUAUUAUCAUGGUUUAGAAAUGUGUGUUUCUCCAUAAUUCUACCAAAGCUUAGUGUUAGCAAAUAUUUUCACGUUUGCCUUUCUAAUGAGUGCAAAAUAGUAUCGUUUUAUUUUGCAUUUUUCAAAUGUUCUAAGCAAUGAUUGAACAUUUAUUCAUAAAAAGUCACUCAGAUUUUGUUACAUAUUUUGCUCGUUUUUCUAUUCUGUUGUUGAGUUUCUCAUAUUAAUUAUGAAAUAUUGUGUACUCGUCCUUUGUCAAAUAUAGUGUUGUAAUUAUUUUCUCCUAGUCUGCAGUUUUUCUAUUAAGUUUUAUUGUAUCCUUCAGGAAAACAUUUGUUAAUAUAGCCAAAUUAUUACAAAUAUUAUUUUAGGGUUUGAGACUUUAGUCUUACUUAAGGAAUGCUUCACUGCCAUAGUUAUAUAUUUUCUUUUAAAAAUUUUAAACUUUGUUUUUCUCAUAUCUCUUUUAUUCAUCAGAAAUUACUUUCAAUAUGUUCUGUAUGAGGUAGAAUUUUAAUAUGGUUUUUCCACAUGUGAGAGCAUUAUUUCCUGCACCAUUGAAUAAUACAUUCUUUGUUCACUGAUUUGCAAUGCUUCCUAAUUCAUGGGAUUGAAGUUCCGUUUGUCCAUGAGUCUGUUUCUGUAAUUUUCGUGAAUUAAAUUGUUCCAGUUAACCUUUCCCUGUGCCAGUACCAACCUAUAUGAAUUGAUAUAGCUUUGUAGUAGAUCUUGAUAUCAAGAAGCAAAUUCCUCCUCGAAUUCUGGAUAUAUUUUAUUUGCCUCAUUCAGUACCAUGUUCCAGCUUUCUCCAUCGUAUUCUAUGCUUUUUAUACAAGCUAGUAUUGUAAUCUUACUUGGUAGACUUCGUUUUAGAAUAGUUUUGAAUUUAUAGAAAAAUUGAGCAGAUAGUAUACAGUUCCCAUGUACCUUUUUCCCUGCUCACAGUUUCACACAUAAUUAACAUCCUACAUUAGUGUGAUACGUGUGUUACAAUGAAUGAAUCAAUAUCAAUACAUCAUUAACUAAAUUCAUAGUUUACAUUAAGAUUAAUUUUUUUGUUUAGUAAAGCUCUAUGGGUCUUGACCAAUGUGUAAAGGCAUGAGUUCACAUUACAUUAUCAUACAGAAUAGUUUUAAUGUCCUAAAAUCCUCUGCUUCAUCUAUUUAUUCCUCCCUAUACCUCUAUACCACUAGCAACCAUUGAUCCUUUACUUCUGUAUAGUCUUGCCUUUUUCAGAAUGUCAUGUAGCUGGAAUCAUACAGUAGCCUUUACAGAUAGGCUUCUAUCAUUUAGUAAUGUACUUUUAAGUUUCAUACAUUUUUGGUGGCUUGAUAAUUUCUUUAUAUAGCUAAAAAAAUAAUCCAUUGUUUUGAUGUACCACAGUCUGUUUAUCUAUUGAAAGUUAUUUUGUUUGUUUUAAGUUUGGGACAGUUAUUAACAAAGGUAUUAUAAAGACUGUUAUGCAAGCUUCGAUGUGGAUAUGUUUUCAACUCAGGUAAAUACCUAACAGAAUGAUUGAUGGAUCAUAUGUAAGACUAUAUUUAGCUUUGUAAGAAACUGCCAAACUCUUUUCUAAAGUGGCUGUAUAAUUUUGCAUUCCCAUUGGCAAUGAAUGAGAAUCCUUUUCGCUCAACAUUUUUUGCCAGCAUUCUAUAUUUUCAGUCUUGCUUUUUAAAUAGAUUUUAGCCAUUCUAAGGGGUGCUUAGUAUUAUGGUGUCUCAUUGUUAUUUUAAAUUGCAAUUCUCUAAUGGCAUAUGAUACUGAGCAUUUUUUUUCAUAUGCUUAUGUGCCGUGUCUGUCUGUUAGAUAUUUUGUCCAUUUUCAAUUAAGUGGGGUCUUUUCUUAUUGUUGAGUUUUAGGAGUUCUUUGUAUAUUUUGAAUAUCACUCACUUAUCAGCUAUGUGUUUGGCAAAUAUUUUCUUCCAGUCUCUGGUUUAUAUUUCUAUUCUCCUUACAGUGUCUCAUGGAGCAGAAUUUUUAAAUUUUAAUAAAGUUCAACUUACCAAAUUUUUCUUCUGUAGAUAGUGCUUCUGGUGUUGUAUCUAAAAAGUGAUUACCAAAUUCAAGGUCAACCAAUAUUGGUCACCAAAUUCAACCUAAAUUUUUCCCAUAUUAUCCUCUAGAAGUUAUAUGAUGUUGUAUUUCACAUUUAGGUCUAUGAUCCAUUUUUAGGUAAAUUUUGUAAAAUGUGUAACAUCUGGUCUAUUUUCACCAUUUUACAUCUAUUCUAGCACCACUUGGUGAAGAGAGUCUUUCUUCCCUUGACUUGCCUUUACCCCAUCAAUGAUGAGUUUGCUAUAUUUGUGUACUUUUCUUCCUGGGCUCAUAAUUCUAUUCCAUUAUCUAACUGUAUAGUCUUUCAUCAAUACCACAUUGUACUGAUUCAUACUGAUAGCUUUAUCCUAAAUCUUCGGGUAAUAUUAGUUUUACCACUUUUUUAUUGUAUUAGCUAUUCUGGAUCUAUAAUAUUUUCAUAUAAACUUUAGAGUCAGUUUGUCAAUAUCUACACAAUAACUUUUUUUGUAUUUUAUUGAAAGUAUAAUGACUCUAUAAAAUAAAGUCAGAAAUAACAGGUACUUUAACAAUAUUGUCUAUCUACCCAAAAUAUGGAAUACAGUUCCACUUGUUUAGUUCUUUAUAAAUUUAUUUUGUUAGAUUUUUGUUGUUUUUCUCAUAUAUGUCAUGCAUAUCUGGCUAGAAUUACACCUAAGUAUUUUAAUUUUUUGGUGCUAAUAUAAAGGAUAUUGUGUUUUUAGUGUCAAAUUCUUUUGUUCCCUGCUGGUAUAUAGGAAAACAAUUGACUUUUGUAUAUUAACCUUGUAUCCUAUAACCUUGCUAUAGUCACUUAUUAGUUCCAUGAGGUUUGUUGUUGUUGAUUCUUUGGCAUUUUCUACAUAGUAUCUGAGAAUAUAAAAGUUUUAUUUCUUCCUUUUCAAUUGGUAUACAUUUUACUUUCUUGUUUUACUGGAUUAUCUACAAUGUUGACUAACACUGCAGAGAGGGAGUGUCUUGCCUUAUUCUAAAGGUGGAAAUAUUCUUUCCUGCCAUUAAGUAUGAUGUUAACUGUAGGCUUUUGUAAAUUCUUUAAAAAAUCAUGGUUAUGAAGUUUCUCUCUAUUCCUAGUUUACUCAGAAUUUUUAUCAUAAAUAUGUGUUGGAGUUUAUCAAAUUCUUUUUCUGCAUCUGUUGACAUAUAUGAUUUUUCUUCUUUAGCCUGUCGACACGAUAAAUUUCAUUAGUUGAUUUUUGAAUGUUGAAUCUUUUUAUACUUGUAAUAUAUGCUGCCUUGUCAUGUAUAAUUAUUUUUGUACAUGUUGGAUUUGAUCUGCUAAUAUUUUGUUGAAGAUAUUUGCACAUAUGUUCAUAAGAGAUUGGUCUGUUUUUUUUACGUUCUUGUAAACACACUUUUAUUUGGUUUCAGUAUUAGGAUAAUGCUUGCCUCAGAAUAAUUU
rnacentral:lncRNA from 1 species